AUUCCUACGGGAGGCAGCAGUGAGGAAUAUUGGUCAAUGGUCGGGAGACUGAACCAGUCAAGCCGCGUGAGGGAGGAAGGUACAGAGUAUCGUAAACCUCUUUUGUCAGGGAACAAAGACUGGGACGCGUCCCCGGAUGAGUGUACCUGAAGAAAAAGCAUCGGCUAACUCCGUGCCAGCUGCCGCGGUAAUACGGAGGAUGCGAGCGUUAUCCGGAUUUAUUGGGUUUAAAGGGUGCGCAGGCGGCCUGUUAAGUCAGCGGUAAAAGCCCGGGGCUCAACCCCGGCGAGCCGUUGAAACUGGCG
rnacentral:rRNA from 1 species